UCUUUUUGUGGAAGAAAGGCGUUGCUUACGAUGCCCUUUCUUCCCUUUUUUUUUUUUUUAGCCGGCUCUUUUAUUUUUUCAAUUUUAGCUGUUAAUGAUAAAGCUCGACGCUUUGAGAAGUAUCUAGAUUGUAGAUAAAUGUAAUCUAUCUAUAAGAUAAAUAUAAUUAAAAAUUGAAACAAAACAGAAAAAAGGAAAGAAUUGCACGAGUUAUAAAGUCCAAGUUGAAGGCUGCAACCCGCACGGGAUCGGUUGCUGAUGAUGGGGAAGCUUUAGCCCAAUACUCUUUGCAGUUCGAAAGUGGAAGCAUUUUCGCGACUCCUUCGAUUGGAGCAGCAGCUUCCGCUUUCAAUUGCAAAGGGAAUUGAGUCGAGCUUUUGUCUGUGAUUGUUGGAUUUUUCUUCGAGGAAUUCUUUUCGAUAAAGAUGCUUUCAUCGCCGAGGACGAUUCCAAGUUCACAUCGUCAAAUGGCAUAAACGCCGGGAGAAUACAAGGGUGAUCCACCACACACUGAUGUUUUUUAGAGUGCAUAUUUGUUCCUCGUAUUGACUGCAGGCUGGAGAUUAGGAACUCAAACACAAAGACAAGCUGUUAUCUCUGUUAGGAUUUUCAUGAGAAUUUUUUUAAAAUAUAUUAAUUAGAAAAAGGUUAAAUUAAUUUAAAUUAAAAAUUAAUGUUUUAGAAAUAAGAAUGUUAAUUUUUUUUUUAGUUUUUUAAUUUUUUAUUUAAAAAAUAGUGUUGGUUUUCAAUUACAAUGUUAAAAAGUAUUUUACUAUGUGUACAAGGAGAGGAAAAUAUGAGAGAGGUAAAAGAAAGUGGAUGAGAAGCUAUUUUCUCAAAGGAGAAUAAAAGAGAAAAUUUUUUUUUUUUU